UAAUUGCCAACCUGAUGACUGGCGGCUGAGGAGUGGGGUGAUGAUGCCACUGGCAGAAGCAGGCGCCCUGGCCCAAGGAGGAGGCCCUUCAGCAACGGAGUGGGCCUGCAUUCUGCGGAGGGUGAGACUGAGGUGGCUGCAGUCAAAGGAGAAGGGGGCAGGGGUUUGUUGAGGCUGUGACCGUGGGAAAGCGCUUCUCCAGGGCUUCCCUCAGCUUCAAGGAGAAAGAGUUCAGAGGCCCUGAGGGGAUGAAGGGACUUGUGAAGGGGCUUCAGGGGGAUGGGUUGGGGGGAAGGAGGUUCCUAUUCUUACUCCCCUUCUGCCUAUGCUCCCCCAAUGUUCCUGUCUCUCCCCUCCCCCACCUUGGCCCCCUCUUUGGCCCCUGUGGCCAAAGUUGUUGAGGAAGGAGGGAGUAGAUGGAGGGCUCUUUUCACCAGAAGACCCCCAGGCACAAGCAGCCCACCUUACUGAUGGUCAGAGCAUCCAGAAGAAGUGGCAAGACUUCAGCUGUCCUCAAAGCAGGAAGACAGAGUGUUUCUGGCAGAAAGAACAGCACAAGCAAAGAUCUGGUAACCCUAGGUGCCUCCAGUUUGAGGGAGGAGAGAGGACACCCCCUCCACCCCAGACAUAGGAAAGCAGUCCACCUGCGCACCAGGGGCAGGACACGUGGCUGGGUGCAGACGCUGGCCCGGAUGUCGCGGAGGACUCGCGGGCCGGUAGAGCGCGCGGCGGCGGCGGCGGCGGCGGCGGCGGGAGGAGACGCAGGUCACGCCCCCUUCCCACCACCUCCCGCCGCCGACGGGGCGCGCGCGCCGAGGAGCCCGGGACAGGUGACUCCUAGAGGACUGCGUCUGCGCCUCCCCCGGCGGGAGUCCCUUCUUCGCGGCCUCUGCCGCCCCCUGCGUCCCCUCCUGGGCUUCCGAGAGUCUGACUCAGCCAAGCCGGCAUCGCUUCGCCUCCUACAACACACCCCGAGCGCGAGAAGAAAUUACAGGAUUGCAGGGGCACGGCUAAUGCGCUCUAAUUACCCACCGCCGCUGUCAUCCGCGGCGCUCCGCGGCGCUGGGCCAACGCGCCGUAAUUAAGACGCCGCUCCCCGGUCCCGGAACCCUCCCUUCGCCACCCUCCACCCACCCACCUCGCGGUCCCCAGGACCACUGGCUGCCAACUCCUGCCGCCCUCUGGGACUGCCCCUCAGUCCCAGGAGAGCUAUGAGGCCUCACUGGGGGCAGAACUUGGGGAGACCGAAGCCGGCCCUUCCACUCCCCUAAACCUACAGUCCUGGAAGGUCUCUGCUGGAAGAGACUGGGAGAGUGGGGAGGGGCCAGGGACCUAUUUCGUUGACAGAAACAGUGAGGUCUAUUGGAAAGUUAGCCUUCAGUGGGAGGAGUGGCAAAGGCACGCAGGGCAGCAGUACCCCCGUUUGGCACUUGAGGCACGGAGAAGGGAAGGGAAGUCCGCCCAGCCAGAACUCCCAGACCCGCUCGUUUAACAGUGGCUUUAUGAGCAGCACGACGGACUCCCUCCCCUGGCGGGGAAAUUACCUUCCUGCGAAGAAAGGUGACAUCCCCGCCACAGACACGGAGGCCCCGCCUGCUGGCCAGCUGUGGCCGCCAUAGGGGAGCUGGUGAGGAGUGAGGUGGCUCUGGCCUCCCAUGUCAGGUAGGGUGAGAGAGGCCCUGAAGAUAGAAGCCAGGCCCGAAGGCCAGAAUUAAAGGGGUAGCUUGGCCAUCAGCUCCUUCCCCCAAAACCAGGCUCAGAGCUCUCCUCUAUCAGCAAUUCUUUCCUGAGGUCCAGGGUGUUGCAAACUCAUGGCCUUGGGCCACGUUUUACCUUCAGUGAGGUUUUGUUUGGCUUGCAAUGAGUACAUGGGUUUUAGGUUGAAUGUGAGAGUCUGCAGACAAUGUGGGUUCUCCGACUGCCCUCCCAGUGAAGGUGGACCUCUGAUUUAGACCGGCCCGCUGGGCCCGUGCCUACAUCCUUUUCCUCAGCGUCAGGAUCUUAGUCCCCAUGAUUGCUGCCCCUUUGUGGUCUGCAUGUUUCUUGGUAAGGGUGCCCAGUCAAGUGUCUCUGGGAGCCCCCUCUUCUCUGUCAUCGUCAGGCUCCCCACUUGCAGUGGCCGUGGUGGCUGCACAUGCUCCCGGAUACCCCUCCAGCACUCCCUUUUGUCAUCUUGAGUUUCAGUCCGUGACUUGGGUGGCACCCUAUCUUCUCCAUCAGGGAUGGUAGCUAUUUUUCUGCCAUGAGACUAGAGGUUGCUUGAGAACAGGAAAUUGGAUCUCUCCCUUCAGGCUGGGAUUUCACUAAGGGCUGGAGAAGGGGGGAAUAUGGGAGGAUUAUCUCCUAUCACAGGGAGCGCUCUGAGGGCAAGGCUGUGUCUCCGAUUCAGACUGACGGUUCCCUGAGGAUGGGGCUGUUUCUCCCCUCCGACUGGGGCUCCCUGAGGAUGGGGCUGUUUCUCCCCUCCGACUGGGGCUCCCUGAGGACAGGGCUGUGUCUCCCCUCAGCCUGGGGCUCCCUGAGUCAGGGCUGUGUCUCCCCUCAGACUGGGGCUCCCUGAGGACGGGGCUGUGUCUGCCUCAGACUGGGAAUCCCUGAAGAUGGGGCCGUGUCUCCCUCAAAGUGGGGCUCCCUCAGGACAGCGUUGUGUCUCCCCUCAGACUGCGGCUCCCUGAGGACGGGGCUGUGUCUCCCUCAGACUGGGGCUCCCUGAAGAAAGGGCUGCUUCUCCCUCAGACUGGAGCUCCCUGAAGAUGGGGCUGUGUCCCCCUCAGACUGGGGCUGCCUGAGGAUGAGGCUGCAUCUCCCCUCAGACUGGAGCUCCCUGAGGGCAGGGCUGUCUCCCCCCUUCAGACUGGGGCCUCCCCCAAAGGACAGGGACUGUGUCUCCCCUGGGACUAGGUUCUUUGUGUCUUCUGCAUCAGACAGAUUCCCAUGAGGACAGGGCUGUCUCCCCCUCCAUCUGGAGCUCCCUGAAGGCAAUGGCCUCUCCCCUCAAAUGGGACAUUUGCACCCCACCCCACCCUCUGGCUCCCCAUGGCGCCCAGGCAUUCCUCCCAGGACACCAUUUGUCACGCUUUGAUGAAUGAAACUUACUAAGAAUAACUCA
ensembl:lncRNA LINC03040 long intergenic non-protein coding RNA 3040